CUAGAUCUCAAAUGAGGUAAGACUACCCGCUGAAUUUAAGCAUAUCAAUAAGCG
rnacentral:rRNA from 1 species